CUGCAAGCCCCCAGCAUGUUUGGGUCUGGAAGAACAUUUUGAAAUGGUUUGAGGCCUUGCCCUAUUCCAUCCAGAGCAAGGUUAUGAUUGUUUUCUUCCAUAU
rnacentral:snoRNA from 1 species